CAGUGUGUAGUUUAAAAAAAAAAUAAAAUUUGGGGUAUUAAAAUUUAGUCACUGA
rnacentral:tRNA from 1 species